UGAGAUUUAGUAGAUUUUUAGACCAGAGGGGUAUUUUGUUCAUGUUAUGACUAAUGUCAUUUUUGAUAAUUUUAGAAUGAAGGGUAUUAUAGUAAUUUUGGGUGUGUGAGGUUAUCUAAUGAAGUUAAUAGUAACUUUGGUUUGGCAUAAUUAUUAAGAUAGUGGUGUAUGAGUAUUUGGUAGAAGGGUAUUUUAGUAAUUGAUGGAGGAAGGUAAACCUAAGUAUAAAAGGAGGAUUUAGAGGGAGAAGUAGUCAUUUUUUAUGAAAAUUGAGAAAUGAGGUAGAGAGAAGAAAAGAAGAGAUCGAAGAAGAGAGAAAGAAAAGGUUUUGGGAAAGUUAGAGAGGAAGAACAACAAGAUUAACAAAGGAGAGGAACUCAAUGAUUCAUCAAGCCAAGCUAUCAUCAUUUCUCCAAUUCUAGAGUUUCUCAGGUGUUGCGUUUUGGUGUUCGUGUUCCGGUGUAGCCUCGCUCUGAUUUGGACACAUAGGGAGGGUGUAUAGUAUUUCAAUUUUAUUUAUAUGGUCUAGGUUAAGACAUAAAAAUGUACAAGUCACUAGUAAAAGAUUUUCAUCUAAUGCACGUGUAUACUAAUUAAAUUUAUAGCAAUGUAAUUUGGGAAUAGUAAUACCCUAAUUCAUAAUAUUCAUCUAUCUCCAUCCUUAAUUAUUAAUCAAUAAAGUUUUAUUUUUAUCCGCUGCGAAAAUUUUAAAACAAUCCUCUUAUAAAACUAGAGUAAUACGAGUAUUCAGGUUAGGGUGUUACAAAGUGGUAUCAGAGCCCCGUUGGUCCAAUCGGACUAUGUGGGCUAGGUGUGUGUUAUGUGUCGAUCAGAGCAGGUCUGUUGAGUCAAGCCAAGUGUGCAUUGAGUCGGUUGUGUUUGUUUAUCGAUUGAUCUUUUUAUGAGUUGAUUGUUGUUUACACUUGCACCUUAGUCAUUUAGUUAUCUUGGAAGUUGGUGAAUUGCUUUAUGAAGUUCGUUGUUAUUUUCUUCAUGACAUGUUGCUUUACUCGAUUCUCGAUGUUGUGUUUUAAUUGGUAAUGAGAUUAGAAUUUAUAAAACCUUGUUGAAAAUCUAGAUUCUUUUCUCUUUAAUAAUUGAACACUAAUUUUUGUAUAAAAUUAGGAAGAUUAAAAUAUUAAUAGUGAAAUUAAGUGAGCUUUAGAAUGUGCAUGAUAUACGUUGUCAUGUUUUCCGAAAAGUUGAUAAAUGAUGUUGUCUUUCUUUUGACGGAUUUUGAAAAGUGAUGUGAAUUUAAAUGUCAGUGAUUCAUUUUCUUAAGUGUUCUUUUUAGUCAUCACAUGAUUUUGAAUACAACGUUUUGUUAUGAGUAUGUUAGUUUGAUAAAGAGAGUUAUGCCACAAUCAUGAUUAUCGGCAGCCUAUUAGCAAAUUAAGGAUCUGAUCACCCUUAAUCUGUUGUUAAUAGUAGACGGAAUCAUGUUGACUGGAGUAAACUAAUUUUGUCAAACUUUAGUAGCAUGUAGAGUUUGCUACGAAAUAAGAAAUGAUUGGUUAUGGAAAAUGUAAUUUUGUAAAACGUAUUAAUUGUGUUUUGUGAAUUCAAACUUUUGUGGUGAUUGUAUAUAAAUGUUAUAAAUAAUUUUGUGUUGCUUUGUUGUUUGAUACUAAAACAUGUUUAGGGAUAUGCUAGUUGUGUGACUGUGUACGAAUUUAUUGAUGUUUGUGUUAUUAGUAUGUGAGUUUGUGAUUUUAUGAAGUUGAUCUCGGCCUUAUGUCUUGUUCGUUCCUAUAAAUCACUUGCUAAAUGCGUUGUUCUUGUUGUAUGUUGUUAUAUGUGUUGUUUUCUUCCGUGUGAUUGUUAGAUCUAAAUUCUAGAUGUUCGAUUUUCAUAAGUGUGCACUAUCUAUUUUUAUUAUGCAUGAAUUCUAUUGUGUUUAUGGAUGUUCUUAACUAGUUAUGCGAAUAGAAUGUUAGACUUAUGCUUGUAGAGUUGGUAUAUGUAAAAUAGCUCUUUUGUGAUGAAUUGAUUUUUUUGAUUGGGAUGAAUUUGUGUUGAAUUGUUUUUGGAGGAAACAGGAGUAGUGCGGUUUAGAGGGAAUGAGUGUUGUCGGUAGAGUUUAUCGUCCUUAAAUAAAGAGUUGAAACCAGACUCUGAUACCUAGUUCACCUAUCGGGAGAAUUACGAUAUUGAUAGAAUUUAGAGUUGUAUUUUACGGGUAAUUUUCGAGGACGAAAAUUCUUUAAGUGGGGGAGAGUUGUAACACCCCGAUUUUUGCUAGGAUUAUUUAUUUAUUAUAUUUGUUUAAUUGCUUGUUUGAUGUGUUUGAUUGAGAUUUAGUAGAUUUUUAGACCAGAGGGGUAUUUUGUUCAUGUUAUGACUAAUGUCAUUUUUGAUAAUUUUAGAAUGAAGGGUAUUAUAGUAAUUUUGGGUGUGUGAGGUUAUCUAAUGAAGUUAAUAGUAACUUUGGUUUGGCAUAAUUAUUAAGAUAGUGGUGUAUGAGUAUUUGGUAGAAGGGUAUUUUAGUAAUUGAUGGAGGAAGGUAAACCUAAGUAUAAAAGGAGGAUUUAGAGGGAGAAGUAGUCAUUUUUUAUGAAAAUUGAGAAAUGAGGUAGAGAGAAGAAAAGAAGAGAUCGAAGAAGAGAGAAAGAAAAGGUUUUGGGAAAGUUAGAGAGGAAGAACAACAAGAUUAACAAAGGAGAGGAACUCAAUGAUUCAUCAAGCCAAGCUAUCAUCAUUUCUCCAAUUCUAGAGUUUCUCAGGUGUUGCGUUUUGGUGUUCGUGUUCCGGUGUAGCCUCGCUCUGAUUUGGACACAUAGGGAGGGUGUAUAGUAUUUCAAUUUUAUUUAUAUGGUCUAGGUUAAGACAUAAAAAUGUACAAGUCACUAGUAAAAGAUUUUCAUCUAAUGCACGUGUAUACUAAUUAAAUUUAUAGCAAUGUAAUUUGGGAAUAGUAAUACCCUAAUUCAUAAUAUUCAUCUAUCUCCAUCCUUAAUUAUUAA